rnacentral:lncRNA from 1 species
CUGCACUGCACGCCAGGGGAGAGGGCGUCCUUGUCCCCUUCCUGCCUCCUCAGUAGUAUGUGGAAGCCUUGGAGGUUCCCAAGUCAGUGUCUCUCCUGGGCUGCAGAAAGAGGCCGACUGUUCUUUGGUGUAAUAAUAUGGAGCUGGUUGUGUGUACCUGGAGAGAAUCGUCUGUGGAUUUCUGAGCUCGAAAGCUGCCUGGACGGAUUCAAGAGGUGACGUGCACAGCUAUGUCUUGGGGGCUGAGCCCAAGGGGCCUGACCGGUGCCUUCUGCGCUGCCAUGCUGCCCUCAUAGUGGCUUCUGGGACACCGUCAGCCCUGUGCUCCCCAGAGCCUGCAUCAGAACUUCUCGAACUUUUCUGCUGAAGUGUCCCUAAGAAGAGCAAAUGCCUGCCCCUGAGCCAUAGAUAGGAAAUUUCUUUUAAGUCCCUUGUUCUAUCUUAAAAAUUCAUGUGAAUUGUGCAUCUUACUCCAUAAUCUAUUCAUGCUUGUUUUAAUAUAAAUAUAUU